UACGUAGGGGGCAAGCGUUGUCCGGAUUUACUGGGCGUAAAGCGCGCGCAGGUGGUUUCUUAAGUCUGAUGUGAAAGCCCACGGCUCAACCGUGGAGGGUCAUUGGAAACUGGGGAACUUGAGUGCAGAAGAGGAAAGUGGAAUUCCUGGUGUAGCGGUGAAAUGCGCAGAUAUCAGGAAGAACACCCGUGGCGAAAGCGGCUCUCUGGAACGGUACUGACGCUGAGACGCGAAAGCGUGGGGAGCGAACAGG
rnacentral:rRNA from 1 species